rnacentral:rRNA from 1 species
UACGGAGGGUGCAAGCGUUAUCCGGAUUUACUGGGUUUAAAGGGUGUGUAGGCGGACUUUUAAGUCAGCGGUGAAAUCUCCGGGCUUAACCCGGAAAGGUCAGCCGAUACUGCGGGGCUAGAGUGCAGAAGGGGCAACUGGAAUUCUCGGUGUAGCGGUGAAAUGCGUAGAUAUCGAGAGGAACACCUGCGGCGAAGGCGGGUUGCUGGGCUGACACUGACGCUGAGGCGCGAAAGCUAGGGGAGCGAACGGG